AAAAAAAAAACCAAAAAACCAAAAAAAAAAAAAUUAUAAUGCCAAAAAAGUUAAAAAAUAAUCCUCUGAUUUGAUAAAUUUGCUGCAAAGAGGCUGUUCUGUUUUCUUGUUUAUAGGUAUACAUCACAUCAAUAGGCUACAAUACCUGUGGAACUAAUCAAUCCUCACAGAGUGAGUUGAUAAUCUUAUUUGGUUCCUACAAGGAAAGAAAACACCAUGAGCUGGAAUAAAACUUCCUGUGGAAGUGAUGGGAAGUUUGUGGACUUUGCUGCCAGUCAGGGCAAUAAAGCCAGAAAGUCCCUCAGAAGCAAACACAGGAAUGAGAAGGCACACACAACACACCCACUCAACCCUCCUACAUCUUCCCUGCCAAGAAACCAGCCCCCAGCAGGGACAGCGCAGCGGCUUAGACCUAGGUUCCAAAGGCCUCUGGCGCUUCUCCAGGGGUGUGGGACCGACCACUGUGAGGAGCAGUCACAAGGCCAAGGAGCCUGUACAACUGCCAGCCCGGCUUUCUGUGGACUGGAGUGCCCUCACCUACCUCAAGGCCACACACGCAGCCUUAGCCUAAGUUCAUUCAGCACCAGAAGGAAAAUGAUAUCCAGAAGUUUAAAACUGUGCUCUUCUGUCACUGUUAACAUUAGACGCUGGGCACAUGCCUAUAAUCCCAGCCCUCUGGGAGGUUGAGGCAGAAGGACUGCAAAUUUGAGCCCAGCCUGGGCUCCUUAGUGACUUAGCAAGAAUCGGUGUGAAGGCUCUGAGUUCAAUCCCUAGUACCGUACACACAAAUACACACACAAAAAAGAAGACAAGAAACGCUCCAAAGAAGAGCCGAAUCUUUCUCUUCCCAAGAGGAAUGGAGAGAGUGGGAGGAGUGACCAGAAGGAGAA
rnacentral:lncRNA from 1 species